UACGAGGGGUGCAAGCGUUGCUCGGAAUUAUUGGGCGUAAAGGGUAGGUAGGUGGUCUCAUUUGUCUGGGGUGAAAGCCUUGAGCUUAACUCAAGAAGUGCCCUAGAAACGGUGAGACUGGAGUCCUGGAGAGGGUCGUGGAAUUCCUGGUGUAGCGGUGGAAUGCGCAGAUAUCGGGAGGAACACCGGUGGCGAAGGCGGUUCUCUGGGCCUUACCUGACGCUGAGGAGCGAAAGCGUGGGGAGCAAACAGG
rnacentral:rRNA from 1 species